GAUGAACGCUGGCGGCGUGCCUAAUACAUGCAAGUCGAGCGAACGGACGAGAAGCUUGCUUCUCUGAUGUUAGCGGCGGACGGGUGAGUAACACGUGGAUAACCUACCUAUAAGACUGGGAUAACUUCGGGAAACCGGAGCUAAUACCGGAUAAUAUUUUGAACCGCAUGGUUCAAAAGUGAAAGACGGUCUUGCUGUCACUUAUAGAUGGAUCCGCGCUGCAUUAGCUAGUUGGUAAGGUAACGGCUUACCAAGGCAACGAUGCAUAGCCGACCUGAGAGGGUGAUCGGCCACACUGGAACUGAGACACGGUCCAGACUCCUACGGGAGGCAGCAGUAGGGAAUCUUCCGCAAUGGGCGAAAGCCUGACGGAGCAACGCCGCGUGAGUGAUGAAGGUCUUCGGAUCGUAAAACUCUGUUAUUAGGGAAGAACAUAUGUGUAAGUAACUGUGCACAUCUUGACGGUAGCUAAUCAGAAAGCAACGGCUAACUACGUG
rnacentral:rRNA from 1 species